rnacentral:rRNA from 1 species
UACGGGGGGGGCAAGCGUUGUUCGGAUUACUGGGCGUAAAGGGCGCGUAGGCGGUCAGCACAAGUCAGUUGUGAAAUCUCCGGGCUUAACCCGGAAAGGUCAACUGAUACUGUGCGACUAGAGUGCGGAAGGGGCAACUGGAAUUCUCGGUGUAGCGGUGAAAUGCGUAGAUAUCGAGAGGAACACCUGCGGCGAAGGCGGCAUCCUGGACCGGUAUUGACGCUGAGGCGCGAAAGCCAGGGGAGCAAACGGG